rnacentral:rRNA from 1 species
CACGCACACACGCGCGGCAUAUCAAUAAGCGGAGGAAAAGAAACUAACAAGGAUUCCCUUAGUAACGGCGAGUGAAGCGGGAAGAGCUCAAAUUUGAAAUCUUCAAGGUUCUACCUUGACGAAUUGUAGUUUAUAGAAGUGUUUUCUGUUAGUGGAGUGGCAAAAGUUCUUUGGAAUAGGACAUCAUAGAGGGUGAGAAUCCCGUAUUUGGUCAUUCCUCCUAGCGUUGUGAUACACUUUCAACGAGUCGGAUUGUUUGGGAAUGCAGUCCAAAAUGGGUGGUAAAUUUCAUCUAAAGCUAAAUAUUGGCGAGAGACCGAUAGCGAACAAGUACCGUGAGGGAAAGAUGAAAAGAACUUUGAAAAGAGAGUUAAACAGUACGUGAAAUUGUCAAAAGGGAAGCGUUUGACACCAGUGUUGUUUUUCCGAAAAUCAAUUACGAAUGUUUUGUUUUUGAGGAGUUAUGACUUCAUCGGCUUGCUCCUUUCUUUACGAAACUUUCUUAAUGCACUUUUCGGUUAACAAGUCAACAUCAAUUUCUUUUGUUGUAAAAGGGUAUGAGGAAGGUGGCUUUCUUUUCGGAGAAAGUGUUUAUAGCCUUGUGCCUCUAGCAAUCGGAGAGAUUGAGGUCUGCAGCGUAGAUCCUUCGGGGUUAGAUACGUUUGUGCUAAGUUAUAGCUUUUCAUAGACAACUUGUUGACUAUGUUUAGUCUUGUAGCUUACUCGCUUAUGCUAUUUUACCUACGCUUAGGAUGUUGAACUCUAUCACACACAG